rnacentral:lncRNA from 1 species
UGAGCUAGCAUUCUGAAUGGUUAUUUUAAAUACUAAAUUUAAGAAAUUUGAAUUUGUUUUUGCGUUUUCAUCCUGGGAAACUGACACUGAACUUUGCUAUUUUUUUUCAGAGGAACUUAGGAAAAACUUCGAGGAAUUUAAGAAAAACUUCGAGACUGAACAGGACAAAGAGGAACGUAAGAAAAGGUUCGGUAAGUUUCUGAGAUCCCUCUACUUUGAUAGGUCUUUAGGAUUACUGGUUUCUUGCCCUCUUGGAAAUUCGCUGCCAUUUUGUCUCCAAGCCAUGCAUUUGCAUGCACUUCUCCUGGGUGUUGACUGUUCUCUGCCAAAUUUGAUGGUUUGGGGCUUCUUUCAUUUACAUUCUAACAGUUACCAUUCCUCUUCCCUCCAUCCACUUCCAUUCCUGCUGUUUGCAUUUCAUCCCAUGCCAUCCCUGGAAACAUUGGCUUCUUCUGUCCUGCAGAAAUUUCCAAGAGUUUCUUUAAGCAGUUGGCGAAACAAAGAACUUUACGUUCAUAGACUUAUGGGUUUUAUGCUAUGUAUGUUUCUGAAAAGCAUCCUAACUUAACACUUCUUUCGUAUGUUCCAAAUUUGAGGACUCAAGGCUAUGAUUCGCAUACUUACCUAAUACAUCAAAAAAAGAAGAGAUGAUCCCAAACUUCUGAUGGAAGCAUCUCUAACCAUUGUGUGUUCAAAGUUGUUGUUAUAACAGAUAUCAUUCAUUGGUCGAGUGUGAGAUGAGGGUCACUCUCCCUCUGCCCUUGAAUUUAGUACCCAAGUCUUCCCAUGCAUCUAAAUACGUUACAUAUUUCCUCCUAAGUUUUAAAACAUUUCCAACCACACAGAUCACUCAUUAUUUUUUGGCAUAUUUAUUGCCACAAUGAUCAAAUUGGCAAGCUGCAAUUUCUUCUAAAUAUUGGUGGAAGGAUUGCAUGACCUAAGGAAGGUUCAAAUCUAAUCUAUCUCAAGUCUCAAUGUGUUCUGUAACAACACAGGCAGCUAUUGCCCUUGCCUGUUUCCCAAAGGACACCUAAAACAAUCCUUACAUUUUAACGUCCUCCUUUUCCAAUGAAAUUUUCCAAAUAUUAUUAUUUUCUUUGGAAUGGAAUUUAGAACUAUAUCUCUUCGAUGUACAUAGAACGAUUCAUAUGACUUCUUGGUCCAGAUAGAGAUUGGGACAGAAGGGUGCCUUUAGUGUCACCUUCCUCAUCACUUUUGGAGUGCCUGACUCAUAUAUGUCUGCAUGUCUGCAUCGUUUUCUGAAAAAAGUGUCACCACGACAAAGAGAGCUGAUUGAUAGUGUUAAUCCUAGAAGAAGUCCUACCAUCCCUCCCUCAUGAUUCCUUUCCUAUCUAAUUCCUUUUGCACUAAGGUGUGAGGGAUGGAAAACAACUAUGCCUCUGAUGGGUGAGAUGUCCUUUGCAAACUUAAGGUUCUUAUUGUCACAAAUAAGGGUCCAUUUGCAUCACAGAGUAAACUAGGAAAGCGUUUCAAAUGGGAGUUCUGCUCACAUCCUUGCAAUGUACCUUCCUUUGCAAUAAAUUAUUCCUGUCUUCCUUUAGUUUUCA